UAAAUCAACCUCCUUGCAAUCUCGUAUUGUUAAUCUUUUGAGGCUGGUGAGAUGUUGCAGGCACUCAUCUAGCGUGUAAGUGUCCAACCCCUCAAUGUUGUGUACAUCGAAAGAUUUCAUUUUGGAGAGUGGAAGAGAAGAGGUUGAAGUUGAUGGGGCCUUAGCAUUGAUGUUCAUCUUGAUAGUCUGCUUUAACGGCCUUGAACUGGUAUUCGACAACAUUAGAUCUUCACCGAGUGAUGGAUACAGUGGCAUUAAAGUCAAAGGGCAAUUUUGAAUUGUUAAAGAGGAAAGACAAGGAAAUGCCAUGGUUGAUGUUCCCAUAACUGUUGUGUCGUCCUCGUUGGAAUCAUCAUCGAUUGGUUUUGUCGUCCUCCACCAACUCUUCAUAUUUGGGCAAUCCUCGAGGUUAAGAAGCUUAAGCGAUGGGAAGAAUGAUUGUGGUUCUCCUUGACUUCCUUUUGGGCUAUUAUCAUCCAUGUACUCCAGCUUAGUACAAAACAUAAUAUCCAGCAGUUCAAGACAGGGCAAUUGAGCAAAGGACGGGAAAUAUUUGAAAUUACCACCACUUAUGAAAAUUUUGACGAGAUUUGUGAGCAAAGGAAGCCAACUUGGAAACUUGGCAUCACCCCUCCAUCCUCGAAUACAGAGCUCCUUUAGAUUAGGAUGGGGUUGGAGGUCUUCAAGUGAUUUAUCAUCAUCAUAUUCAUCAUCGUUAAAAUCAAAAUAAAAGCUCCAUUGUAAAACCAACGAUCUCAAAUGUUGCUUCUCAUUCAAAUUAGCAGCCUUAAACUUCUCUUUUGCAUUUUUUACGAAUCCCAAAUUUGCUAUUUCUAGAUGUCCCCUUAAGUUGUUAAGCAGUCUCAAUUCACUUAGAUCUGCACCGCCAUGGGACCCAUCUUUAUCCACUACAAACAUGCUUAACGUCUCAAGUGAAGUCAGCUUCCCUAUUCCACGUGGCAUAUGAGUUAAACUAAAACAAGCGUCACACCCAAUAUGGGUAAGCUUCACCAAUUUUUCAACCUUCUUUGGCAAUUCUUGAAGCCCACAACACCAGUCAAGUUUCAGCGCUAGCAAAUUCUGAAUCUUGCAAAUACUCUUUGGGAGAAUCUUGAUAUUGUAAUUGGAAGAAAGAUCAAGGUGCCUCAAAUGUUUCAACUUGUAAAUGGAGGGUGAAAUCAUCUGAAUACCUAACGAAUGCAAAUCCAAUACACGCAAGCAUCUACAAUUUGCAAUUAUCAAAUCCCAAGUUUCAUAGCUGAAAUCAUCACUCAAUUUUUGAUCUAUGUUGUCUUGAAAAUGUAACAAGGUUCGCAACUUCUUUCCCUUAAACGAAGGAAUUAAUGAAGGUUUAAUUGAUAUGUGGCGACAUUUUUCACCAACAUCACUUGCAAUUCUAUUUGAAUCUACAAUACCACUCUCCAUCCCUGCUACUGAUUCAGCUAGAUCAUGCAUUAAAUCAUGCAUUUUACAUGUUAGCCCUUCCCAUGAAUAUCUUUCUCCUACUUCUUGGAAGAAACUUCUUUCAACUAAAUCUUUAAAAUACCCAAACCCAAUCUCCUCCAGAGAUUGACUUUGAUUCAAUUGCUUUAUGAAACCCUCUGCAAUCCAAAAUUGAACAAGCGCUUGUACUUCAAUUCUGUAAUCUUUUGGAUACAAUCGGCAAUAAGCAAAGCAAUGCUUCAAAUGAGACGGGAGAUGAUCAUAACUCAAUUUCAGCAUAGGUAGAAGUUCUCCUUCAAUUUGUGAUAUUUUAGGAAGUUCAUUUUCAUUGAAAGAAUGCCACUCAUUUGCAGUUUUCUUCAAAGAUAAUGUACCAGCUAUCGUCCUUAUGGCUAAGGGAACCCCACCACACCUUUCCGAAAUCUGUCUCCCUACUUCCACAAAGGCUGAAUUUGUUGAGUCUGCAUAUCCUUGCUCAAAUGCUAUCUUUUUGAACAAAGACCAAGCAUCAUCAUCAGACAAGCCUUUCAAUUUCAAAACAUGGGAUUGACAUUUAUUAGUUAUCUCCGCUACCCUUAGAGAUCUAGUCGUUACUAUUAUCCUACUCCCUUUAGCCCCACCCAUCAAUAACUUCUUUAGCCUAGACCACCUUUCUGGGUCCUCAUUCCAAAUGUCAUCCAAAACAAGCAAAUAUUUUUUCCCAUCAAUUUUAUCUCGAAGUUGUUUUUGCAGUUGAUCCAUUUCAAGAUUUUGAUCAGGUGCUUGAUGAGUCACAGAUUUGAUAAUGUUUGCUACAAUAACUUUCACAUCAAAAUCAUCUGAAACACACGCAAACAUCGUUAAGUCAAAAUGAUUUUUGACCAUUUCAUGGUUAUAGACAAGUUGGGCCAAAGCAGUCUUCCCUAACCCUCCAAACCCCAAAAUUGGAAUGAUAAAAACAUUCUCUUCACUUUGAAACUCCAACACGAGUUUUAGAAGAGCUGCUUUAUCCUCGUCCCUCCCUAUUAUGUCAUCUUCACGCUCAAAAGAGUGCGUUUGCUGCCUCCUUUUAGUCAUGAAAGAGGUUUCCGCGGGGCGAUCACGCGGAAUGAAGCGAAAAGUGUUGGCCUCACUUUCAAUUGAAGCUAAUCUCGCCUUAAUGGCCUUCAUUUUCCGACCCAUUUUGAGACCAUAAGCAAAUUGGUUUGAGGUUGAGAAGAAAAGGCGUACCUCUUUCGUCAGCUUGUUCCCACCCGAUACAUCUUUCCGCAAAGCUUCAGUAGAGAAAUCAUCGAGCAAGUCGUCGGCAUCAUAAAGUACAUCUUUCAGAUCUAAUCAAGCCAACUUUGACGAGAUUGUCGGUCACCGAUUUCUCUUCUGCGUCAAGAAGCACAGCUUUGAUUUGACAGACAGUGCGUCUGAGGUCGUGGAUGUCAUGUUUUAGAUUCCACCACGGCCCAAGUUGAGAGAGAGCACGAGAGCUCAACUUAAUAAUGAGCUCUGCGGCAAUGUCGAAAGCAAUUGCUUCGGCCAUUGUUGGCUCAAACUGAAAUCAAGGCGAGAAGUGUUUGAUUAGUGAAAGAGGAGGACUAAAAUGAGAAUGAUUCCAACAAGAUGAAACACAGAUGUGGAUCCAUCCACCCAGCAAGUAGUAUAAUGAAAAAAAAAGUAAUGUUCAUUGGUGGGAAAUGGUCCCUCCAUGUGACACAAAUUUCUGAAGGGAGACAAAGUUGGGAUGAUGACACUUGGGGUGCUCUGCACAAUGUGGAGCCGUACAAAUAAUUGAAAUUAAUGAAAAAGCUAUGAAAGAAAAGAGAAAAAAGGAGACAAAUCCCAUGGAAUCCAGGGUGUUUUGAUUGAGGCACAUGCAUUCAAGUCUUUCUAAACCUUCUUCCCACUUACUUUGUGUAAUUGAGUGGGUCUGAAUACUCGGUUCUAACUUAAAUUUAAUAUUUUAUUUUUGAGGGUGAUUGCAGACUGUGAGAUACAACAUGAAGAUUGGGUUUAUGUCAGCUCCAUGGGAAUGUAUUUUAUUAUACCAUCAUGAAGAUUGCUUCCAGUGCUCAUAUCUAUUUAAUUAUUUUAAUACACAUAAAAUUGUUUAUUGUGAGUUGGAUGAUUUUGGUUUGUUUAUUUAAGAUAUUUUAUUUUUAAAUAUAUUCUUAAUUAUUUAUUUUACAUAUUUUAACUUAAUAUAUUUAAUAGUGAUUUUUUUUAAUAAAAAAAAGGACCCAAAGGUUACUACCUCAUUUUAAGUUGCAUCAUAAAUUACAAUGUUAUGGAUAUCGCUAUGAUAAUCAAUCUCAAAAGACAAAUUACAACACUUAGAAAGAGCCCAAUUACAAAGAGAAUCGGCUAAUUUGUUACAACCACGUUUCACCCAUUUGACCUUGGCGGAAACAAAAGAAUCAAGCAUAUUGUGAACUCCUUGAUGCAGUGAUCAAGGAUCGUUAUGUCCUUCUUGUCAAAACUGAAGCAGUUGACAAUACUAGCACAAUCUGUUUCAAAAAUGACGUUAUCGGCUUUAAGAAAUUGAGCAAGCUGAAAACCAUUUAUGAGGGCAUCUACUUCCGCUUUAAUAUUGAUUUUUUAUUCUCAUUUUAUCAGUAUAUUUACAUUUGAAUUCAAAUACAUAUUCUAUAAUUAACUUUAAUCUCACUGUUACAAUACUUAACCUCACUAAAUUACUUGUUUAACAUGAUUAUGGUGAAUUUAUAGAAAGAACAAUCACGAAGCAAAUGCAGAUGCACUUAUCUUUAAAGUGUUAUUAAUGGAAAUUUUAUUAUUUUGAAAAAUAAAAGUAUAAUAACUUUUUUGGCAUUCCAACUUUAUAAAAGAAUUAUUUUAUUAUUUUGAACUUACAUUUUUUUGUCAAACCAUCCAAAAUGGGUGAAAAAGUUAAUGUUUGUUAACUUUGUUGACAUGACAUAUAGGUGGAUUACCACGUGUAUGUCACGUUAGCAAUUAAUUAUUUUUAAAAAAUAUUAAAAAAUAUUUUCUUAUAAAUUUUUUAAUUUUUAAAAUAUUUUUUUGAAUUUUUUAAAAUUUAAAAAAUGAGUAAUUGCUUAUGUGACAUACACAUGGCAAUCAGCGUGUAUGUCACAUUAGCAAAAUUAAUAGACAUUAAUUUUUCACUCAUUUUGGGGUGAUUUGACAAAAAUUACAAGUCUAUGGACUAAAAGAAACGAAAAAUUAAAUGGAGAGAUGAAAUUACUUUUUCUCUAAAGUUGGAGACCAAAAUAAUCAUUAUGGCAAAAAAUAGUUGUUUUUCUUCUCUCUCUUUCUUUUUGGUAUUUUUUAGUGCUAAAAUUUAAGAUGGUGUGGAAUGUUUAUAAUCUUAUUAUUGUUAUAUAUGUUUUCGAUCUCAUUAGAGCUAAUCUCACUAUCUAUAUAAAGAGAGCCUAAAUAUAAUUUGUUUAGCUUCUUUUAAACAUGUUAGUGUUCCCUUGUAUGAUCAUUUACCUCCCGUGAGUAGGGUUGAGUAAAUUAAAUAAAAUAAAAUAAUUGAAAAUCGAUCCAAAUCAAGGUCUUUAGAUGGUUUUUGGAAUACUAAUUAACAAAUCACAAUUAUCCGAAACCAAACCAAAUUAUAUUCUUUAUUUAAUUUAUAAAUAAAUUUAUUUUUUAUAAUUUAAAAAUAAAUCUUUUAUAUUUAAAAAUAGUGAAAAUAAAUAAAUAAAUAUUUUUAUUUACUUAAAAAAAAUUUAAAAAAUAUCUAUGAAAUAAAUUUUGAAAAUUUGUCAAAUGAUAUUUAAAAGCCGUAAAAUAAAGUUUAUUUUAUUAAAAUAAUUAUAAAAAUUUAUAAUAAAAAUCAAACUAAACUAAAUUAUAAUGGAAAGACAAAAAAAUACAAUCGAAUUAAGCUAAGAUUUUCUUAAAAAAAUUAACUUGCAAUGAGAUUGUUUUCCUCACUAUAACCUUGUAGAGGUGUUAUAUAAGUACAUAUCAUAUGAUAAUUAUAAAUUUAAUAAUUUAAUUUUUUAAAAUUAAAUAUAUUACAAAUUAAUAUUUAUAUAAUGAUAUAUUAAAUACAUGUAAAUUUAUUAUCAUAAAUAUAUUUUUAAUUAUUAUUUAAUAUAAAUAAUUUUAUUAUAUUUUAUUAUUUUCAUUUAUAUAAAAUAUAGAAUUUUGAGUUUAUAAUAAUUUCAAAAAAUAUAUAAUUUUCAUAUUCAAAUUUUAUAUAAAUUAAAUCUAAAUAAGUAGAUAUGUAAUAAUAAAUAAAAAUUAAUAAAAAAUAUAUUUAUUAAUAAAUUUAUUAUUUACCAUGAUUGCAAAUUUAGUAUAUGUUAUAUUAUUUAAUGUUAAAUAUAAUCUUUCAUUUUACAAAUAUAAUUUAACAUCCUUAAUAAUCAAUUUAAGGUGAAAACACCUCUCUAGUCCCUUUCAAUUUUGAUAUCAUACAAAUUGGUCCUUCUAAAAAAUUUAGAGCAAUUUUAUCGUUAUUAAUUUUGAAAUUGAGCAACUAAGGAUAAUUAAUCACAACAUUAAUAUUUUUUGUCAUCUGUACACAUUUUUAUUGGUAUAAUAACAGCUUCAGCCCUAAAAGUUUACACAUUCUGUCAAUUUAGUUCUAGUUUAACAAAAUCAAUUUGCAACAUUUACACAUUAUGUAUGAACUGAAUUUGUUAUUAUACUAAUCAAAAUUAUAUACGAGUGACAAAAAAUAUUAACAUUAUUUUUAAUUGUCCUUAGUUCACCUUUGAAAUUGAUAAGGAUUAACUUGUUCCAUUUUUUAGAAAGGGCCCAUUUGCAAAAUAUUGAAUUUAAGAGGGAUCGAAGAGGUGUUUUUAUCCAUUUUUAGCCUCACCUCACUACUACAAUUGUUAUUGAAUCCAAAUAUAUAUCCAACACUGAUUAUUAUCACAUCACUACGGUAUUCAAUCUCACUAUUAUAACAACUAAUAUUACCACCAACGUUAUUUUUCAUUUCACUAGACUUGAUCCAAGUAUACAUCCAAAGAAAACCAUAAACUUAUCUAAAUACAAAUAAAACUAUAAAAAAACUUAUUUAGACAUAAAUUGAAAAUAUAAUUACUUGCUUGAGUUACACAUUUGUCCAAUUAUUCAAUUUGGUCAGAUUGAAGGUUAUUCUUUGAUAAGAUAUUAUUAUUAUUAUUAUUAUUAUUUGCUCUGGGCAAACUUAAUACAACUUGAUUUACUCUUUAUUAAUUAAAAUCAUUUUAUUUAUAUUUAAUUAUAAAAAUGUGUAAAUAUUAUUAAAACAUUAAUUUUUAAUAUUCAAUGAAUAGUGAAAUAGGGUCAACUUAUAAAGCUUAAAGUAUUUAGGAAGUCCCUAUAUUAUAGACUGUAUCAAAAUAGUCUAUUGAUUAUUAAACAGAUCAAAUUUAUUCUUGUAUUAUUAAAAAAGAAUCAAAUUAUAUCAAAUUGUAACAGAAUUAACAUUUAUUGUAACAGAAUUAAUAUUAACAGAGUUAACAAUUUUCAAUACAUUUUUAUGCAAUAAAUGUUAAUUUUGUUGUAAUUUGGUUUUAUUUGAUCAUUUUUAAUAAUACAGAGACUAAUUGACCAUUUAAUAAUAGAGGGACUAAUUUGAUGUAGUCCCUAUAAUACAGGUACUUUCACCCUUAUAUAUGUAUUUGAAUCUUAUUUUGGAUGAAAUUGAACAAUUGAAAAAGAUAAGAGUUCAAAAAGGUAAAAAUAAAUUGUAAUUACAUACAAAAUAAAUCUCCUAUUGUUUAUCUUUUGAGGCUGGUGAGAUGUUGCAGGCACUCAUCUAGCGUGUGAGUGUCCAACCCCUCUAUGUUGUGUACAUGGAAAGAUUUCAAUUUGGAGAGUGGAAGAGAAGAGGUUGAAGUUGAUGGGGCCUUAGCAUUGAUGUUCAUCUUGAUAGUCUGCUUUAACGGCCUUGAACUGGUAUUCCUCAACUCUAGCUUAUCAUCGAGUGAUGGAUACAGUGGCAUCAAAGUCAAAGGGCAAUUUACAAUC
rnacentral:lncRNA from 1 species